rnacentral:rRNA from 1 species
GACGAACGCUGGCGGCGUGCUUAACACAUGCAAGUCGAACGGAAAGGCCCUGCUUUUGUGGGGUGCUCGAGUGGCGAACGGGUGAGUAACACGUGAGUAACCUGCCCUUGACUUUGGGAUAACUUCAGGAAACUGGGGCUAAUACCGGAUAGGAGCUCCUGCUGCAUGGUGGGGGUUGGAAAGUUUCGGCGGUUGGGGAUGGACUCGCGGCUUAUCAGCUUGUUGGUGGGGUAGUGGCUUACCAAGGCUUUGACGGGUAGCCGGCCUGAGAGGGUGACCGGCCACAUUGGGACUGAGGGACGGCCCAGACUCCUACGGGAGGCAGCAGUGGGGAAUAUUGCACAAUGGGCGGAAGCCUGAUGCAGCAGCGCCGCGUGCGGGAUGACGGCCUUCGGGUUGUAAACCGCUUUCGCCUGUGACGAAGCGUGAGUGACGGUAAUGGGUAAAGAAGCACCGGCUAACUACGUG